AAAACAACCCGACAGAGUGGGCUCAAAAAACCCGCAAUUGCUUAGGAUAUUUUUUGUUUAUUUGCUUUUCUCAAGGUGGAAAAACAAGUUUCAGUUCUGGCUCUGUCAGUCCCUUAAUGUCCCAGGCCGGGCUUCUCGAUUAAACUGAUCCAAUGACUUUUGAGUUUCCUUCCAGUGCUAAAAGAAAUGCUAUAGAUUCUCUUUUUUGCUACAUAUUACUUGCUGAAUUCAUAUGAGCGUUAAAUUGGAAAAUUAUGCACACAAAGUUCCAUUUGGUGUCAUCUUUUGAAGCCGCCUCAGGACCAAGAAAGACAGUUGGAACAGUGGUUGUCCAGGCAUAUGGAUCCUAUGCAUGUGGUGAUUUUUCUUCCCAGAGGACAAUCUUCUGGAAACGUGUUUGGCACUGUCAAGUUGCCCUUUUGAAGGAAUAUGGAAGUUUUUGGUUUUUUUUUUUUUAAGAUUAUUUAUUUAUUUAUUUGACAGAGAGAGAUCACAAGUAGAUAGA